rnacentral:tRNA from 2 species
GUGUCUGUGGUGCAAUUGGUCAGCGCGUUCAGCUGUUAACCGAAAAAUUGGUGGUUCGAGCCCACCCAGGGACG